rnacentral:rRNA from 1 species
UUGAGAGUUUGAUCCUGGCUCAGGAUAAACGCUGGCGGCGUGCCUUAGGCAUGCAAGUCGAGCGCUCUCCGAUGCAAAUCGGGGAGAGCGGCAGACGGGUGAGUAAUGGUAGGGAAUCUACCCCAAAGUGAAGGAUAGCUCGCCGAAAGGCGGGGUAAUCCUGCAUAGUCCCCGAUUUAAUCGGGGUAAAGGGCUUAACUGCCCGCUUUGGGAGGAGCCCUAUUCCUAUCAGCUUGUUGGUAGGGUAAUAGCCUACCAAGGCUAUGACGGGUAGGGGGCGUGAGAGCGUGUACCCCCACAAUUGCACUUAGACACGGGCAAUACACCUACGGGUGGCAGCAACCGGGAAUCGUCGGCAAUGGGCGAAAGCCUGACCGCGCGACGCCGCGUGAAGGAUGAAGCCC